GAGAAACAAGACCCGUGAUCUCUUGAAUAUAUUAUAGCUGGUUGACCAUUGUGCAAUAGUCAGGGAGGUAUGCAAUCCAGUUUCUAGGCGAACACGGCCGCUCAGAGCAAGGACCAACUACACAGCGAUUCGUCUCAGUUUUGUGCAUGGUUACAUUCCGAGUAGUGACGAUCGGUUCUACGCGGAUUAAGUAGUGAUACGAAUCUUUUUUUUGAGUUGCAUUGGAAGACGCUGCCAGCUACAGUUUUGAAAGGGAAACGAUUCGCCACAAUUGCAGACAUGGGAGCUACAACUUGAAGACAGACUAGACAAACUGUUGCGGAUACAAGGAAAAAUAACGAACAUAGCCUAAUUUUCUUGUUACCCACCGAUAUUUAUUGGAGCUAUCUAGCAGCUGAAGAAUACGGAAUCAAGUAUACAAUUCUAACCACGGGUAGAGUCAAAGACCAACAGACAGACCGAGAUACACACAGAGCAGAAGCUAAAGGGGAAGAGGAAGGCUGCCUGUCAGGGUCUCGUUGAUCCCCCGUUCCUCCGAUGAACCCCCUCAACUCCAUGAAACCCGGUCUGCCUCCCACUCCGCACA
rnacentral:lncRNA from 1 species